rnacentral:tRNA from 1 species
UCCCUGGUGGUCCAGUGUUUAAGACUCUGCGUUGCCAAUACAUGAGGCCAGGGUUCAACCCCUGGUCAGGGAA